UACGUAGGUGGCAAGCGUUGUCCGGAUUUACUGGGCGUAAAGGGCGCGUAGGCGGUCGUGACAAGUCACUUGUGAAAUCUCCGGGCUUAACUCGGAACGGUCAGAUGAUACUGCUUUGCUCGAGUGCGGAAGGGGCAAUCGGAAUUCUUGGUGUAGCGGUGAAAUGCGUAGAGAUCCGGAGGAACACCAGUGGCGAAGGCGGCCUUCUGGGCCUUUCCUGACGCUGAGGCGCGAAAGCGUGGGGAGCGAACCGG
rnacentral:rRNA from 1 species